rnacentral:misc_RNA from 1 species
GAUGAAGAACGUAGCGAAAUGCGAUAAGUAAUGUGAAUUGCAGAGUUCAGUGAAUCAUCGAAUCUUUGAACGCACAUUGCGCCCGCCAGUAUUCUGGCGGGCAUGCCUGUUCGAGCGUCAUUUCACCACUCAAGCCUCGCUUGGUAUUGGGCAACGCGGUCCGCCGCGUGCCUCAAAUCGACCGGCUGGGUCUUCUGUCCCCUAAGCGUUGUGGAAACUAUUCGCUAAAGGGUGUUCGGGAGGCUACGCCGUAAAACAACCCCAUUUCUAAGGUUGACCUCGGAUCAGGUAGGGAUACCCGCUGAACUUAAGCAUAUCAAUAAGCGGAGGA